rnacentral:rRNA from 1 species
UGAAGGCGAUCAGAUACCGCCCUAGUCCUAAUCAUAAAUGAUGGCAACUAGUGAUCCGCCGGCGUUAUUGUCAUGACCCAGUGGGCAACUUCCGGGAAACCAAAGUGUUUGGGUUCUGAGGGAAGUAUGGUUGGAAAGCUGAAACUUAAAGGAAUUUACGGAAGGGCACCACCAGGAGUGGAGCCUGUGGCCUAAUUUGAUUGAACAUGGGGAACCUGACCAGGCCCGGACACCAGAAGGAUUGACAGAUUGAGG